GGCUUACGUGAUAUCACCCCUAGUUAUUGGUUUGGUUCGUGUCGCUUAGUCCUAGUUUUCAAUGUUGUGUUUUGUGUAGUAUUAUUUGCCUGUUUGUCUUUUUCUUUUUUUUUUAGUCAUGGCGUUGUCAGUCUGUUUUCGACUGAGUUUGAAUAUCUCUUUAAUAUCUGUCGCCUCUCUUAUAGUAAACGUUUGAUAUCCGAGAAAACUAUUUACUAUUUCAGAAAAAUAUAAGUUUUACGAAACCAUGGAAAGUAACCUCUUUGUAAGCUGAUUUUUAAAAAUGAACAUGUUCUUCGUCCAAUGACUAAACGUGCUGCUUUUUAUCCAAUUAAUUUGAGAUCGUGCUGUUGACUUCGUGUAAUGAUGAGAAUAUGUUCAUCUACCAUUUUUUAGUUUUAGUUCGUUGUAUUUAUAACAGUAAAUAAACAUACACAUUU
rnacentral:lncRNA from 1 species